rnacentral:rRNA from 1 species
GGAAUAAGCAUUGGCUAAAUCCGUGCCACCAGCUGAGGUAAGACGGAGGAUGCAAGCGUUUCCGGAAUUAUUGGGCGUAAAGCGCCCGCAGGUGGCUGUUCAAUUCUGUUGUUAAAGCCCGAGGCUUAACCUCGGAUUGGCAAUGGAAACUGAACGGCUAGAGUAUGGCAGGGGUUAGGGGAAUUCCCGGUGUACCGGUGAAAUGCGUUUAUAUCGGGAAGAACACCAUCGACGAAAGUGCCUAACUGGGACAUUACUGACACUCAUGGACGAAAGCUAGGGGAGCGAAAGGGAUUAGAUACCCCUGUAGUC